rnacentral:lncRNA from 1 species
UUGUAACUGAUUUUAUUGCAGCAGGUACAGAAGUGAGUGCCUGGUGUGACACCUGUGAACGGAGCUGCACAAAGCAGCAGUGACAGCGUGGUUCCCGCAGCAGAACUCAGUGCCACGCUGCUGCUCACUGCUCCAGCUUCCCUUCUCCUGGCACUGCCUCAGAGUACAGCUUCAUCCGGAGAUGCCAAUGGUGUGACAACACGGAGCUGCAGCAGGUGCAGUGCUGCGGGGCUGCAUUGUGCCUCCAUCACCAUCCCUACCCUCCAUCACCACAGCAGCCUCCUUUGCCUGCCCACAGAUGCACAGACCUGGCUAUAAAGGGAGCUGCCAGUGCUGUGGCUUGGCCUUGUGUAGCCCUGGUCCUUCUGUGCCCCAGGAUGCCCAAACCUGCUGUUGGUGGCAUUGCAGGGGGCUGAGGCAGCAGCCGUCCUUCUCAGCUUCCAGGAGAAGACCAGAAGGCAGCUGAGCAUCACUGCCAUGCUCUGACAGGAGCUUACACCUGGAAAGCAUUGGCAGGAAAGCAGUGAAGUCAUCGCAGGUCAAACGCUGAGUGUUGCUUAAAAAGGGAAGUUCGGACUAUGGACACGUGAACAAAUUGCCCUAAGGAUCCCACGUACCAACUGAUGUGUGAGAACCACUUCUUAUCUGCAGUGAGAACCAGCCCAUGCAAGGUAACUCGAUA